AGCAGCAUGGCGCAGUGGUAGCGCGCGGGGCCCAUAUUAUGUCGGACACCCCGAGGUCACUUGAUCGAAACAAGUUGCUGCUA